rnacentral:rRNA from 1 species
GUGGGGAAUAUUGGACAAUGGGCGAAAGCCUGAUCCAGCAAUGCCGCGUGAGUGAUGAAGGCCUUAGGGUUGUAAAGCUCUUUUACCCGGGAAGAUAAUGACUGUACCGGGAGAAUAAGCCCCGGCUAACUCCGUGCCAGCAGCCGCGGUAAUACGGAGGGGGCUAGCGUUGUUCGGAAUUACUGGGCGUAAAGCGCACGUAGGCGGUUUUGUAAGUUAGAGGUGAAAGCCUGGGGCUCAACCCCAGAAUUGCCUUUAAGACUGCAUCACUUGAACGUCGGAGAGGUGAGUGGAAUUCCGAGUGUAGAGGUGAAAUUCGUAGAUAUUCGGAAGAACACCAGUGGCGAAGGCGGCUCACUGGACGACUGUUGACGCUGAGGUGCGAAAGCGUGGGGAGCAAACAGGAUUAGAAACCCGAGUAGUCC